rnacentral:lncRNA from 1 species
UGUGCCCAUCCUACUUCAAUUCUAUCAGGAUUAUGUGUGGUGCAAUGUCUUACCCAUAGAAGUCGAAAGUUUCAUAUUAGGUCAACCUUAGCUAUUCGACAAUGAUGUUAUGAUCUAUGGCCGAACCAACUCCUAUAGCUUUACUUAUCAAGGUAAGAAGAUCAUGAUUAAUCCUUCUCCAUCUAAGGCUACCAAUAGAAAGAUAGGUGAUGGACCAAAAG